UACGUAGGCUGCGAGCGUUGUCCGGAAUUAUUGGGCGUAAAGAGCUUGUAGGCGGUUUGUCGCGUCUGCCGUGAAAUUUCGGGGCUCAACCCCGAACUUGCGGUGGGUACGGGCAGACUAGAGUGUGGUAGGGGAGACUGGAAUUCCUGGUGUAGCGGUGAAAUGCGCAGAUAUCAGGAGGAACACCGAUGGCGAAGGCAGGUCUCUGGGCCACUACUGACGCUGAGAAGCGAAAGCAUGGGGAGCGAACAGG
rnacentral:rRNA from 1 species